rnacentral:rRNA from 1 species
UCGGGUUGUCAUGCCAAUGGCAUUGCCCGGUAGCUAAAUGCGGAAGAGAUAAGUGCUGAAAGCAUCUAAGCACGAAACUUGCCCCGAGAUGAGUUCUCCCUGACUCCUUGAGAGUCCUGAAGGAACGUUGAAGACGACGACGUUGAUAGGCCGGGUGUGUAAGCGCAGCGAUGCGUUGAGCUAACCGGUACUAAUGAACCGUGAGGCUUAACCUU